UACGUAGGUGGCAAGCGUUGUCCGGAUUUACUGGGUGUAAAGGGGCGCAGGCGGGAAGCUAAGUUGGAUGUGAAAUACCGGGGCUCAACUCCGGAGCUGCAUCCAAAACUGGUUUUCUUGAGUGGAGUAGAGGCAAGCUGAAUUCCGAGUGUAGCGGUGAAAUGCGUAGAUAUUCGGAGGAACACCAGUGGCGAAGGCGGCUUGCUGGGCUCUAACUGACGCUGAGGCCCGAAAGCGUGGGAAGCAACAGGAUUAGAUACCCUGGUAGU
rnacentral:rRNA from 1 species